rnacentral:rRNA from 1 species
AACGAACGCUGGCGGCAGGCUUAACACAUGCAAGUCGAGCGCAUCCUUCGGGGUGAGCGGCAGGCGGGUGAGUAACGCGUGGGAAUCUACCUUUUGCUACGGAAUAGCUCCGGGAAACUGGAAUUAAUACCGUAUGUGCCCUUAGGGGGAAAGAUUUAUCGGCAAGAGAUGAGCCCGCGUUGGAUUAGCUAGUUGGUGGGGUAAAGGCCUACCAAGGCGACGAUCCAUAGCUGGUCUGAGAGGAUGAUCAGCCACAUUGGGACUGAGACACGGCCCAAACUCCUACGGGAGGCAGCAGUGGGGAAUAUUGGACAAUGGGCGCAAGCCUGAUCCAGCCAUGCCGCGUGAGUGAUGAAGGCCUUAGGGUUGUAAAGCUCUUUCACCGGAGAAGAUAAUGACGGUAUCCGGAGAAGAAGCCCCGGCUAACUUCGUG